rnacentral:rRNA from 1 species
AGUGAACGCUGGCGGUAGGCCUAACACAUGCAAGUCGAACGGCAGCACAGUAAGAGCUUGCUCUUACGGGUGGCGAGUGGCGGACGGGUGAGGAAUACAUCGGAAUCUACUUUUUCGUGGGGGAUAACGUAGGGAAACUUACGCUAAUACCGCAUACGACCUACGGGUGAAAGCAGGGGAUCUUCGGACCUUGCGCGAUUGAAUGAGCCGAUGUCGGAUUAGCUAGUUGGCGGGGUAAAGGCCCACCAAGGCGACGAUCCGUAGCUGGUCUGAGAGGAUGAUCGGCGACACUGGAACUGAGACGCGGUCCAGACUCCUACGGGAGGCAGCAGUGGGGAAUAUUGGACAAUGGGCGCAAGCCUGAUCCAGCCAUACCGCGUGGGUGAAGAAGGCCUUCGGGUUGUAAAGCCCUUUUGUUGGGAAAGAAAAGCAGCAGGUUAAUACCCCGCUGUUCUGACGGUACCCAAAGAAUAAGCACCGGCUAACUUCGUG